GGUAGAAUAUUUAAGGAAAUACGUUGAGAAUAUUAUAUAUUGCGGUUUUCAACCACAACGCACUUACGGCGAAAAGAAAUAUGAAAAAACAUAAUUUGUUCAAAACGACAAAUAGGUAUACGCGAAUGGCUGUACAUAAUAUCGCGGAGCUUAUUGCGCGCCGUUACCGUUAAAGUUCGCAUAUUAGCAAACCUACUUCACAUCAAUGACGUAUAGGUGCCUACCUACAUAAUAUUAUACCUAUAGGUAAACUUACAAAUUGGUUUCCGCAAAACAAGAUUCGUCAGGUAGCAUAGUAGUUUCCAUCCGUAUAGUUGUUAAUAACUGCCAAACGGUAAUAUUGGUAUAUCCUAUACCUACACAAUAUACUGCAGUACUGCCUUGAGGCGGACAAUCCCCUUGACAGAUAAUAUAGCAGACGGCUGCGACUGUCUAUAUAAAUAUAUAAUAUAGUGAAAAUAAACAGACUUAUCUCGUUGUGCUUUAGUAGAAAGGGGAGGAGAUAAACAUCGGUCAUCGAUCAGCCGUACGCACGACGCAACAACUGAUCCAAUUGGUAAAUCCCAAAUAUAGGCAUU